rnacentral:rRNA from 1 species
GACGAACGCUGGCGGCGUGCUUAACACAUGCAAGUCGAACGGAAAGGCCCUGCUUUUGUGGGGUGCUCGAGUGGCGAACGGGUGAGUAACACGUGAGUAACCUGCCCUUGACCUUGGGAUAACUUCAGGAAACUGGGGCUAAUACCGGAUAGGAGCUCCUGCUGCAUGGUGGGGGUUGGAAAGUUUCGGCGGUUGGGGAUGGACUCGCGGCUUAUCAGCUUGUUGGUGGGGUAGUGGCUUACCAAGGCUUUGACGGGUAGCCGGCCUGAGAGGGUGCCCGGCAACAUGGGGAAGGGGAAAGGGCCCAAACCCCUCGGGGAGGCAGCGGGGGGGAAUAUUGCAAAAGGGGGGGAAGCCUGAGGCAGCAACGCCGCGGGGGGGAGGACGGCCUUGGGGUUGAAAACCGCUUUCGCCUGUGACGAAGCGGGGGGGACGGUAAUGGGUAAAGGAGCACCGGCUAACUACGU